GUGAAUCAUCGAAUUUUUGAACGCACAUUGCGCUCUUUUGUAUGCCUAUGCCUGUUCGAGGUUCAGACUCAAUAAAAUCGACAUCGUUGCUGUUUCGCGGUGCCAUUCGUCGGAAAUUGGGUCAUCUUACACCUUUCGGUUUUAAGCGGCUUACAAUUUUCUUUACGAUUCCACGAAUGUUUCUAAAAGUUU
rnacentral:misc_RNA from 1 species